rnacentral:rRNA from 1 species
GAUGAACGCUGGCGGCAUGCCUAAUACAUGCAAGUCGAACGAGAAGGUUGAAUGCUUGCAUUCAACUAGAGAGUGGCAAAUGGGUGAGUAACACGUGAGUAAUCUGCCCACAAGACUGGGAUAACUACUGGAAACAGUUUGUAAUACCGGAUAAUUACUCUGGAGGCAUCUCUGGAAGUAAAAAGCUUUAAUGCACUUGUGGAUGAGCUCGCGGCGUAUUAGUUAGUUGGUGAGGUAACGGCUCACCAAGACAAUGAUACGUAGCCGGCCUGAGAGGGUGUACGGCCACACUGGGACUGAGACACGGCCCAGACUCCUACGGGAGGCAGCAGUAGGGAAUUUUCGGCAAUGGAGGGAACUCUGACCGAGCGAUGCCGCGUGAACGAUGAAGGCCUUCGGGUUGUAAAGUUCUGUUAUAGAGGAAGAAUGGUCUAGAUAGAAUCUAGGCGUGACGGUAC